rnacentral:rRNA from 1 species
UAGCUUGCUAGCUUGCUGACGAGUGGCGGACGGGUGAGUAAUGCGUAGGAAUCUGCCCUGCAGCGGGGGAUAGCCCGGGGAAACCCGGAUUAAUACCGCAUACGCUCUACGGAGGAAAGUGGGCCUCUGAUUCAAGCUCACACUGCAGGAUGAGCCUACGUCCGAUUAGCUAGUUGGUGGGGUAAAAGCCUACCAAGGCGACGAUCGGUAGCUGGUCUGAGAGGAUGAUCAGCCACACUGGGACUGAGACACGGCCCAGACUCCUACGGGAGGCAGCAGUGGGGAAUAUUGGACAAUGGGCGCAAGCCUGAUCCAGCAAUGCCGCGUGUGUGAAGAAGGCCUGCGGGUUGUAAAGCACUUUUGUCAGGGAAGAAACGGCCUGGGCUAAUACCCCAUGGCUAUUGACGGUACCUGAAGAAUAAGCACCGGCUAACUCCGUGCCAGCAGCCGCGGUAAUACGGAGGGUGCGAGCGUUAAUCGG